CGGUGUCCCGCGGCCCCGUGGAUGGGGAGGAGCGUGGAGCGGGAUACGUUCUAGACACGUUUGCGGCGUCUAUUGAGCCUGACCCUAUGGUGGCACUUCACUCGCUUCAUUAAUGCUCACGUGCGUCUUUGAAAGAUGGGGGAUGGUCCCCAUUUUGUAGAGGAAACUGAGGCCCAAGCAGGGUGACUUGCGCACUCCUUGCAGUUGAGGGAGGGGGGAGGGGGCUGUGCGCUGGCCCGGCCCCGGGUCCCUCGCCCCCCACCCCCGCCCCGCUUACCUUCGCGCCUCCCCCGCGGCGGUGGACCCGGCGGCGGCGGCGGGAAGAGCCCCGCACCCGGCGGCUAAGCCCCGGACGCAGGCGCAGCCCUCGGGCCGGCAGCCCGGGCCGGGUGCCGAGCGCACCCCGCCUGCCUCGGUCCUCACACCCUCACCUAGGAAAUGAGGAGGUUGAAUGGGGAUCGCCCAGGUCCCCUCCCGCUCUUACUUCUGCAGGUUGCUCUGCCGUGUGCAUCCGAGUUCCCCCUCCUGGGACUCCCGCCGCCCGGUGAUCCCAUUACGUGCGCAGCAGGCCUGUUUCCAGGAGAGCUCAGUGCAGAGGCCCAGGCCGAGAAAAUCUACCUCAGUGGGUCGUGUACCUGAGGAUAAACACAACAGCCAGGGAGAUCUGCUCCAGCAUCCAGGUAGGUCAGAGGCCAGAGAAACUCUGGGGACCCACCUAAGAUGAGGAUACUUUAGUUCAGUUGCACACUCUUCUCCCCUUCUCUCUCUCUCUCUCUCUCUCUCUCUCUCUCUCUCCUGGACUCCAGAAGGACCUUCCGGGUUUAAGCUGCCAUCCAUCGCAAAGCUGGAAUGUUGGAGCCCCCUAUGUGUAAGGCGACGCUAAGACUAUUCUCUGAAGAAAAGUUCCUGCCUGCCAGGAUUUGAGAGAACAUCAAGAAUUAAUUCGGUAAUUCUACUCCUCAGAACAUACUUAUGGAAGCGCAUCCCAUACACCCACACUGUACACACACAGACACACACAAAGGAGGUGCUCGCUGG
rnacentral:lncRNA from 12 species